UUUACCUACGGGGGGCAGCAGUGAGGAAUAUUGGUCAAUGGGCGGGAGCCUGAACCAGCCAAGCCGCGUGAAGGAAGAAGGCGCCAGGCGUCGUAAACUUCUUUUGUCGGGGAACAAAGGGCGCCACGCGUGGCGUUGUGAGUGUACCCGAAGAAAAAGCAUCGGCUAACUCCGUGCCAGCAGCCGCGGUAAUACGGAGGAUGCGAGCGUUAUCCGGAUUUAUUGGGUUUAAAGGGUGCGCAGGCGGAAGAUCAAGUCAGCGGUAAAAUUGAGAGGCUCAACCUCUUCGAGCCGUUGAAACUGGG
rnacentral:rRNA from 1 species